GCUCGCAAGUCUCUGCCUGACUCCACCCUCUCCAUGGCUGGCUCUUCUUCGAAGAGGUCCACGAACCCGAGGCCGUGCCGUUUCGGGGCUCUGGUUGGGGUCGACGGCAAGCUGCAGAAGCCCGGUCGGAUUAUGGAGGCUCUGGGAGACCCGAACCCACCUGGAGAACCCAUAUGAACGCACCAUGAGGAUGGUGCUGACUUCACCUUGCUGAGUUGGAGUUGUCGUAGAGACGCAACCAUUUCGUUGAUGGAGUUCGAGCCCAGUGAACGGCUCAGACUCGAUGUAAUGGGAGACAUCGGCGGAGACUCCGGCGGCGGCGACCCCGGCGGGGAAACCGACCCUGGAGAUGACAUAAACGGCAGAGUUUUUGCACAGGAAGCUUCCAACGCUUGCCUAAGCGGCGACCCGUCAUAGGACUCCACCGACCCAG
rnacentral:lncRNA from 1 species